AUGGCCAUCCUAGAGCUAUUUAGUGAUGUGGCGGGCCUCAAGAUAAACCCGUAGAAAAGGUUUGUUGUCGUGGUUAGAUGUGAGGGCUUAGACAUGCAGGAUGUGCUCGACGAUUUUAGAGGUAGAAUUGUAAACUUCCCAAUGACAUAUCUAGGCCUGCCGAUCACCAUCUCUAGGCUACGCUUGGUACAUCUCCGAUUCAUACUAGAUCAAAUUCGAGCCCGUCUUUUGGGGCGGAAGGGGCGUCUACUGUCCAUGGCCGGCAGAAGGCUGCUUGUUUGGAGUGUGCUGGCCGCCGUGCCAACGUACGCGCUCACCAUGCUCAGAGUGCCGAUCAAGUUCUUCAAGGAAAUCGACAAGGUCUGCAGUUGCAUCCUUUGGGCGGGUGACCUAGAGCUCAUCGGCGGCCACUUUAAGGUGAAUUGGACAUAG
rnacentral:rRNA from 1 species